AGCCCCAGGGCAGUAAUGAUACCUGUGAUUGGUGGAUUGAAAAUAUAACAUUGUGUUGCUUCAAAAUUGGGUUUCCAGUUGCUUUUGUUUAUCGUUUUAUUCUUCUUUCAAAUUUUUCUGACUUCAGUUCUUUUAAAACACUUACCUGUCUGGAAUUCUAGGUGAUUGGGGGAAGGAAGAUGAAUAAUUCUUAGAAGGGAGCUUUGUUCCAUUUCUCUUUUGUUAUAUUGUUAUAUGCCUAUAUUCUUGGACUUAUAAAUCAUAUCUUUUCAAAUGUACAUUGUUAGGAAUGUAGAUCAUUCAAGUGCCAUCCCUAGGGUGUAAUGAACUAAUCUUUGAUUUGCCAAGUUGUCCAUUAAAAUUACUCAAGCGGGAUCUCUUGCUAAACAAAUAAGAAAUAUACACGUAUAAAUGUGAGUUAUGCUCGGAGGAGAGAUAGAUACAAGAUGGAUGGAGAGAGAGAGAUAGUGGGAGUAGGAGAGGCAGAGAAAUGUGGAUAGCAUCAUAGCACUAACAUUAAUUGCAUGUUUGGAAUGAAGUAGUAGAAAUUAAAAGAGGUAGACACAUGGGGGAGAGAUGGAUCAAGAUGGUGUCCAAGAGAUGGCCGGAGCAGUGCAUGAGAAAGUCCCCAGCGAUAACUGCAGUUCCAACGGCAAGGACAACGAGGCCAAACGAGAUUCCAAUUUGAUUAAAGAUGGAAAUAUAUUAUAGCUAUAUAAACAUCUUGUAUGCAAUCUCUUUUUAUAUCACGUGCAUGCUGCACGUGCACUUCCACCGUGCGUUUUGCAUAUUGUCACCGUGCAUUUUUUACCCGUCGGUCCCACAAAUUGCAUGAGCAUGGUAAAUUACGAUCAAUCUAUUCGGGUUCGGACCUUCCAAUUCAUACCAAACAAUCAAUCACAGUCAAUUCAGAAUAAUCCAAUCACCAAUCACACUGAGUCCUUCCAAUUAUGUCAAAACCCUUCCAAUAUAUUAUGAGCCUACGGUCCCACCAAUCAAAUUGAUUGAUUAAUUGCUUGACAAUCAAUCAUAGUUAGUCAAUUAGAUCAUCAAUCACGUUGAGUCCCUUCCUAAUACGUAGAAACCUUUCCAAUUACUUUGAGAUAAUCAAAUUGAUUGAUGAUCAAUUACGGUCUAUCCGGAAUAAUAUGAUCACCAAUCACGUUGAGUCUCUUCUAAUUUCAUUGAAACCCUUCUAAUUAUGAGCCCAAUAAGCUUGUAAACAAAUUAAUUGAUUGCUUGGAAAUUUUGUUUGAUUGAUUGAAGCACGUAUUAUUUCCUUUCCGGUCUCUAUCUCAUAGACAUAAUAUGCUUUUCAACCCCCCCACCCCCAGC
rnacentral:lncRNA from 1 species